UGGGGAAUAUUGCACAAUGGGCGCAAGCCUGAUGCAGCCAUGCCGCGUGUGUGAAGAAGGCCUUCGGGUUGUAAAGCACUUUCAGCGGGGAGGAAGGCGGUGAGGUUAAUAACCUCAUCGAUUGACGUUACCCGCAGAAGAAGCACCGGCUAACUCCGUGCCAGCAGCCGCGGUAAUACGGAGGGUGCAAGCGUUAAUCGGAAUUACUGGGCGUAAAGCGCACGCAGGCGGUCUGUCAAGUCGGAUGUGAAAUCCCCGGGCUUAACCCGGGAAUUGCAUCUGAUACUGGUCAGCUAGAGUCUUGUAGAGGGGGGUAGAAUUCCAGGUGUAGCGGUGAAAUGCGUAGAGAUCUGGAGGAAUACCGGUGGCGAAGGCGGCCCCCUGGACAAAGACUGACGCUCAGGUGCGAAAGCGUGGGGAGCAAACAGG
rnacentral:rRNA from 1 species